GGGGAGGCCGGAUCCUGGGCUGUGUCCCGGCGCCCUGUGCUCCGGAGCCUGCGCUGUUGGAUUCGCGCUCCCGGGCCGCGCAGCCCCCU
rnacentral:pre_miRNA from 1 species